ACAGCUCCCGUGGCAGGCAGGCACACCUGAGCCAGAGGUGCCAGCCCCGGUGCCUGGCAGUGCCUCCUGUCCCCUCCUGUCCCCUCCUGGGAGCCCCCGGGCAGGUGCGGGCUCACCUGGCUCACCCCACACUCACUGAUGGCUCCACACCGCUGGGAAAGACCUUGGAGAACACUGAGUCCCGAGGAGCAGCAGGAGAGGAAGGAACGGAGGGGUUCAUCCAUCUGUGAGGUAAGAAAACAGCAAAAUAACAACCACAGAGACUUUUCAGAAGUUGCUGUUCCAUUGUGUCCGAAAUCAUUUGCCAGUAACAGCUGAGACUUCAUCCUUAGGAGGAAUAAAUGUGGUCCCACUGGAUCCUGCAGUGAUUUCAGGUACUACAAGAGCAUCUGGAUUUGGGGAUUCAGGCAGAUGUAACAAUCUGAGGUUGGCCAGAUCAAGAUUUUGGCUCGAGAGGUGUGAAACCCAGAGCAGGAUCCCCACAGUCAGCCCUGAGAUGCCUUCUGACUUGAAUAUUUAGGCCAGCACGGACACUGUGCUCUCCCAGUCCCUGAGGAGCCAGCAGGAGCCCGGGCAGGCUGCACUGAGCAUCACUGGAGACGUUCCAUGCUUGGCCUGUUCCUAGAAGGGUUCAGGACAAGGGGUGCAG